AGCAGCCGCGGUAAUUCCAGCUCCAAUAGCGUAUAUUAAAGUUGUUGCAGUUAAAAAGCUCGUAGUUGAAUUUCGGGGUUAGUAGGCUGGUCGUGCCACAGGUAUGCACUGGUCUUACUGACUUCUCCUUUCUGAAGAACUGUAAUGCCAUUAAUUUGGUGUUGCAGGGAAACAGGACUGUUACUUUGAAAAAAUUAGAGUGUUUAAAGCAGGCUAACGCUUGAAUACAUUAGCAUGGAAUAAUGAAAUAGGACGUUCGAUCCUAUUUUGUUGGUUUCUAGGAUUGACGUAAUGAUUAAUAGGGAUAGUUGGGGGCAUUAGUAUUCAAUUGUCAGAGGUGAAAUUCUUGGAUUUAUUGAAGACUAACUACUGCGAAAGCAUUUGCCAAGGAUGUUUUCAUUAAUCAAGAACGAAGGUUAGGGGAUCGAAGACGAUCAGAUACCGUCGUAGUCUUAACCAUAAACUAUGCCGACUAGGGAUCGGAUGAUGUUAAUUUUUAAUGACUCAUUCGGCGCCUUAA
rnacentral:rRNA from 1 species